GUGCCAGCAGCCGCGGUAAGACAGAGGUGCCGAGCGUUAGGCGGAAUCACUGGGCUUAAAGCGUGUGUAGGCGGGUCGUUAAGUGCUUUGUGAAAUCCCAUGGCUCACCCAUGGAACUGCUUGGCAUACUGGCGAUCUUGAGCCACUUAGGGGCAACCGGAACAAACGGUGGAGCGGUGAAAUGCGUAGAUAUCGUUUGGAACGCCAAUGGUGAAAACAGGUUGCUGGGAGUGUGCUGACGCUGAGACACGAAAGCCAGGGGAGCAAACGGGAUUAGAUACCCGCGUAGUCC
rnacentral:rRNA from 1 species